UACGGAGGAUCCAAGCGUUAUCCGGAUUUAUUGGGUUUAAAGGGUGCGCAGGCGGAAGAUUAAGUCGGCGGUGAAAUUUUGCAGCUCAACUGUAAAAGUGCCAUUGAUACUGGUUUUCUUGAGUGUGGAUGAAGUAGGCGGAAUUUGUGGUGUAGCGGUGAAAUGCAUAGAUAUCACGAGGAACUCCGAUUGCGCAGGCAGCUUACUAAACCAUAACUGACGCUCAGGCACGAAGGCGUGGAGAUCAAACAGGAUUAGAUA
rnacentral:rRNA from 1 species